AUAAUAUAGGAGCCACUCAUGAUGAGAAGCCUGAGUUUGCCUGGAAGCAGCCUUACUGAAAUGGAUUCUUGAGGCUCUGAAGCUUUACUAUAUCUUUUUUUUAUUGUAAUUAGUCCACCCUUUUAUAAAGGAAUGCAUCACUACGAUCAAAAUCUCUUCCUCAACUUUUCAUUUCAUAUAAUAUUUCGGUGGUGAUAUUUCAGCAUUAUUAUGAUCCAGGCAAUUGCUGAAGCAAAUACUAACAAUGUACAAACUACAUCCUAAUGUGAUGGAGGCAUUGGACCAUCUCCAUAUGAAGUUCAUCUCCAUAUGAAGUUUUAUGUCCAACACUGGGAAGCGCAUUCAAAAAAGGAAUCAGAGUUCAGAUAAGUGCUACAGAAAGCACCUACAAAACCUGACCUGAAGGAAGAAAGAAAAGUUUUCAUUUCGAAGAAAGAAUCCUGAGAUGUGAAAUGUUGAUAGACCCAGAUGCUCACUGCAGGAUACAAACUUCUUGCCAUCUUUUCUCCAACAACAUACUUGCCAAAAUGAAGAAGAUUCAUUUUUCCUUCCCUCUAACAACCACAUUAUUUGAGCAGUAAAAUCAGCAUGUGUACAUAACAGCAAAAUCUAUCAUCCAUAAAAAUUAUGAAAAUUUAGAGAGGAUUCUGGCUAUUCCUUGCUGUAUUAGUGUUUAUACUGAAGUUCUGCUCUUGGUAAUGACCUGACCUAAGUCCUUGUCCCUCUGGAAUAGAUACUGGAUCUCAGUACAUGUCACCUUCGAUCUCACACAUAAAACAACCCUGAGAUUCUCUAGCACAUGGAUGGAAAGGUGAUAGAAGUCUCUAACGAACUGUACAGGAGCCAUGCAGCACACUGGGUUCUUGAAGGAGUGUGUCUGUACAAUCAAUAAGACAAAUUUAUGAACAUGAUUUGUUCAGUGAAGUAAUUUAAUUGUAUGUAAUAUGAUCAAAAUGGAUUUAGAAAAAAAGAAGUUGGGAACUGGGAAAAGCAGAUGCACGGUAACACAAACGCAAACCAGUAACAUGAAGCUACCAAAACAUUGAUUCAAGCUUUCAUAGAAUGACCUGUUUUCCUGGCUCAGGCAGCUUUUUGCAUUAAAAUCUGGCAGAAUUUACAUAGUGCAGCCCAGCUGAUACUGACAAAGCAAUUUGUACCACUGUGGGAAUACUGGCAGUGGUCUACCAGUUGGGUUCCUGCUUUUUACAUUUGCAGAAUUUGAGUGGACAGAAAAGUUGUUUAUAGUUCAAAGGGCUAAUCCUUACUGUCAGUGUAAAAAACUUUCUGGAGUCAAAUAAAUUACUAUGUAUGUACCAUUAAAACAGACAAACAAACAAACAUAUAAGUAAAAUAACUCUCACAUAUAUUUUCCAUUCGAAGGUGCUGGUUGCUACCCUCUGGAAAUAUCUUUAUUGAUGAUUAAAAACCAAUAAUAAAACUUGCAUCCAGAGUUUAGAGUUCAGUAGACAAGCUUGCAGGACACAGUUAACUACAGGAAUGAAAUGAGGCAUACCACUCAGGCCUCCUAUUCCCAAAGAAGUUUCCCUAAAAAAUGCUUGAAGGAACAGCAUUCUAGUUUAGGUUUUGUAGUGCAACAGUCCACAAAUGAAAAUGAGCUAUUUGCAAAGGUGAGUUUUAAAAGCCUAAGUGGAUUUUACAUAGACAUAAAAGGAAUAAUUCCAUUUAACUACGAGUAAAGUCAGACAUUCUGUGAAAACAUGUCUUAGUGAAUCUUGAGCUGGAAGACAGCCUUCCUGUUGUAAACAUCACACAUUGGUUACAUAAAUCUCAUUCUGGAAUAAACCUUAAAUACCCUGCAGAGAGGACAGUAUAUUACUCUGAACAUGUAAUGGUGUUAGCUUCAUGCUGCAAAGCUGGAAGUUCCCAUCUUGGCAUGGCAUGUGACAAAAAUAGUAUGAGUGACAGAAGUUAAAACAUCUAUUUUAAGUAUGUCCAGAAAAGAUACAACAGUCUGAUUUGAGUCUAUCUCAUAGAAUCCCGUCUGAGACUGCAAGAAAUUUGUGUCAAAUUCCUUUAAUCUAUUUUGAUCUUUUCCCACUACAACAAGACUGAAAGACUAAAGAAACUGUGCUCUUGCCUUGACAUAAGCCAUUCCUUGCGUAUUUGUUAGAGAAACAAAUGAUAACUAAAUCAGAACAAGUUCAUAUAGUAUAUAUGUUUAUGUAUGCAAAAGAAUGGGCAUGACAAUGCAGUGAAAUAAUAAAUUUGUUAGCCAAUUAUGAACAUAGUUCCCUGGUUCCCUGCUAAAAAUGUAACCAGGUCUUUAAGACCAUCCACAACCGCUUGAAAUAUGAUUUAUCUAGGCUGUUCUGGGUCAUCUCUGCACUAACUGCUGGAGUUAUUCAUUGUAAACGAUUUUUAAACUUACUGUCAUGAUUAUUAUUAUCAUAAAUUAUUCAACAUUAGCUGUUAGGUUUAUAUAUAAAAUUGUAUGAAACUAAGUGAGUCCUUAGUAAAAAAUGUAAAAGAGAAAAGCAAGGUUACCCACAGUUUGAUGUUUGUACUUUUCAGAAAGCAUCUGUAAUAAAUCCUUCUGUUAAUGAUCAAUAAAAGUACUGAUACUAGUAC
ensembl:lncRNA